rnacentral:tRNA from 1 species
UAGAUUGAAGCCAGUUGAAUAGGGUAUUUAGCUGUUAACUAAAAUUUCGUGGGGUUAGAUCCCACCAGUCUAG